rnacentral:lncRNA from 1 species
UUGUAUAAAAAAAUUUACACUGAUUAUAGUAAAAUAAAACGUUUUUUUAAACCCUCCCUUUGGUUGUGGGUUAAUCUAGUUUUUAACUUUUAAAGAUCCACCUCCAUCUCUUUUUUUGGAUCAUGAGUUCAUGACCCCUCUAUGUCUUCAUCGUCGGGAAGAGGUAUUUAUUCUGUUGAGCAGGUACAAACUUAAUGGCCCUACUUAGUAUAAAUUACAGUAGGAAUAAGGAAGAUCAAAGGGGUAACACAACAAUAUAGACGCGGAUUUCACUCUGAAAAGUACUUUUCUAUACAUCCAACAUAUUUGGAAGUAAAAAAAAAAAAUGUCCAGCAAUUUGUAAACAAUCUGAAGGUGCACCUUAUCCUUGAUAGCAACAACAAAAAUUAGGCAAUCACUAUUUGCAGAAACCUGAGGAAAUACAAUGGCACAAACGGGAACAGUUAGCAUCUAGGCUUGUUAAAGAUGAAUCACAGGGAGAAACAUUGGGAGAAAAAAAUGCACUUCCUGAACUUCAAGUGAGGGUGUUUCGUUUGAGGAUAACAGCUUCAAAACCCAGAUUCCACAUGAACUCCCUCUGAUUUCUUUAAGAGGGAUCCUCGUCGUUGGUACAAAAUUCAUAAUGUGAAUGUGAACUACAUGAUUCACAUAACUAAAGAAGCAUCCGAACAAAUAGUCUGGAAUCAAUGACAUCAAAAGAUCCUCUGUUGUCUAUGGAAAACGGCAUCUCGCAAGAAUGAAAGAGAGUCAAAACAUGGCAUGGAGGACGAAAAGCAUCCACAUUCAUUAUCGCUGACCAUCAGUACUUAACAAUACUAGUUCACUUUCUUGCGUUAAGGCCUUGUACUUGAAAUUGAUAGGGAGCCAUCUCUUAAGACCCUCAGGCCAAUACCUGGCAGAAAAACAUAAAAACAAUAUCAAUGUUUAAAAUUAUAAAAGGAAGUAAACCUUGCCCAGCUGGGUUGAUUACAUAGAUCAUAUUUGAAUUUAAACCUUUGACAUCUGUUUCUUUUGACAGUUUAAAUAUUGGUUUUCUGUCUUCUGUCUCUUAACCAUUAAAGAGCCCUUUAUUUGAUUUGCCCUCCUUAUUAGGACUUCUAUAAGCCUUUUCCAGAAAUGCCCAAACCAUUUAACACAAGAUUCUACCAUUUGUUUCACAAGAUCCCAACUUUCUCUAUAAUGCAUCUAUUUGUGUUUUGUGAUCCCAUCUUUUCAAAUGCGUAUACUUGCCCAAAGUCACAUCCUCACUGGAAUACUAAACUUGAUUUCUUUGUAGUUUAUAACUGGCAAACAUUAAGUCUUAUACAAGCACUGGAAAUCUUAUGGAUAUAUGGUCAAACAUUCCUCAAUUUUUGUCUUUAGGUAAGAAUUUUUUAUUGGUGACUACUGUUGGGUACAACUUUCUCCGUCAGUCCCCCGUGCUUUCACCCUAUCAUCUUAGUCCUAGACAUUCUAGCCUCGUUUUUCAUCUUAGUCUCAAACCAUAGUAAAAUAUAGCUUAAGUAGGAAGCUGCAUGAAACAUCUCAUAAUAUCCUGGUUGUAUCUUAUAGAUAAUCUUACGAGUACUUUUCAUAAUUGUUUAUAUUCUGUAAUUUAUUUUCGUAUUUAAUUAGGAUUAGUAGUCAAUUAUUUAUAUGAUUAUGGAUUAGUAAUUUGUCUUUAAAUACAUGACAACAUAUCACAUCAAUAUCAGACAAAUUAAAAUUAUUUUAUAGAUAAAACACACACGUUAGUACUAUUGUCCCUAUAUUCUCUCCUUUUCCUUUCCCUGUCCAACACCCAUAACAUCAUUAUGGUUAAACCUAGCAGUAAAAAAAAUGCACAAGUUAAAAUUGACACCAAGUCAAGUGGAAAGGAUAUUACAGUUACAGUGGCCUUUAACGUCAAUGAGACUAAGAAGAGAUAUCAAAUAAUUUUCCUGGAAUCUCUCCUAGAAUAUAAAAUAGGCACUUACUUGUCCACUCUUUCACAAAUUGCUCGACGAACAGAAGAAUUAAGGCCAUAUGCAAUUGAAUUAAAGAGGCCCUGCAAUAAAGAGAGAAAAGUGAAAAAAUUAGCUACAUUCAUCAUAACUUUUCAUGAUGUUGCAGUUGAUGGUACCACUUCUAAUGAUAUCACUAAGGGAUGGCAACAAAUUAAGAGGAAAAGCAUAUAAUAUUGCAGCAAACUGGAAAGUGAUUAAAUGUGAUAUCAUUACCAUGUGAUGCACUUGUGUAAAUUAUAAAUAAAAACUAUUUUAGACUAUCACUGGAGUUCACAACAUUAAUUAACAAAAAGUUACCAAAAAAAAAAAAAGAAUCAUUGACCAAUAUCAAACUACUGGAAAACCUUGACCAACAUUUAAAUCAAUGUUUUCAAUUAUCAUAGUAAUCAGGUAACCAGUACCUCUUAUAAGGCCAGUAAAGUCAGAAGCGCACACUUGUUAAUGUAUGCAAGGUAGUUGGAAGCACAUCCUUGAAUGGAUUUUAUAUUUUUUCACUUUAAAUAUUUCCUCAAUUUUGAAUAAGUUGUACUCAGAUGUAUUGGGUUAUGAAUUGAAUAAAGCAUUUGAUCUGUUAUUGACAAGAAUGAAGGGAACACAAAAUAUGCCCGAUUGUUUGAAAAGUAAAAAUGCCCAGAAAUGGGUGCUAGAAAAUGGAUGGAACAGACAAAUUAUAAUAACAAGGCCUUUUUCCUACUAAAUGGCACUAUUCUGUUUGAACGAUAAAUGUGUUAAGUUUUGAUAUAAGUUAUAAAGCAUACAGUAAAUUGAAAAUCUGAAACUAUGGUUACUGGUUGAUACCAUAAGAGAAGCCAUUCCGACAUCUAGAAAUGAGAGCCAGAAGAUCUUAUGGUUGGGUUCAAAGAAAUCAUGAAUACGGUUAAUGGUUCCAAAAGCCCAUGAUCCUAUUAGAAUCAGUGGAUAGUAUCCCCAGCGAUUUAGAGCCUGUAACAUAAAAUAGAAAAUACUUCAAGUAUUUUUCAAUAAGAAUGUAGAUUCAAAAAAUAACAACAGUUUCAUCUUAAGCGAUUAGUUUAGGCAUAAAUACAAAUCUAGUCAUCAUGAAAUCCCAGCCAACAAUAUAUAUAUAUAAGUGGUGAAGCUUGUGGAAGUCUAAGCACAUUAUAAAGACAGCGCAAAGUUUAAUUCAGAUUAAUGAAAAAGGAAAUGCAUAAUCAUGAAAAGCUUUUCCAUGAAAAUUUCCUACAUUAGCAGAAAAAAAGCUACCCUAGAUUCCUAGAGUGAUUUAAUCAUCCACGGAACAGAAAACAGAAAAAGACUCAAGAUACAAUACAACAACAAUAACCAAGCCUUUUCCCACUAAGCAUAUAUGCAAGAUACUUUAUGGAUCAAACAAUACCUUUGCAUCAUAUCAUAAACCGAGUCCUAUAAACAAGCCAUUAAAUAAUGAUUUCCUCCAUGGUCUACCUCUAAUGCUUGCCAAUUGCAGUACAAAGAUUAUUUUAUGUUUGAAAGGGAUCUUUGUUGUAGCUCUUUUUUAUUUUUUAUUUUUUUGGGUUCCAUUCUCUGAGUAUGGAUAUUUGUUUUCAAUGUUGGAAUAACAAACAUACCCUCAUGUUAUCCCGUGCAUCUGAUGCAUAAGGUUGGCCUGACAUACCAACUGCCAUCUGUAAAAUUUGCCAAGAAACAUUAAAUAGUCUCAAAAACUUGCUAUACAAGUUGUUUCUUCUUUGUUUGACAAAAUCAGCAAAAUUAGAUACAUACACGGGUUGCAUUGUUCAGCAUGCGUAUAACUUGGAAGUAUGUGAACCCAUUAUAUAGUAUAGCAGCCCAGAUAAAUGAGCUCUCACCUCUCAGCAAUGAAGAUGCAAUAGGAUAGUUGAAAUCAAGAACAAAUUUUGAAGUCUAACGCUCCAACUAUUGGUAGAUAAUGACGCCAUACAUCUGCAUGAUAUUGCUCAAUAAAGUAAUCUUAGAAGUAAUAUGAUUAGAAAGUCACAGAAGACAAAUAUUAUUGCAAAUAGUCCAUUUUUCAAACAACAAUAUAUAAAGCUGAUACAUUAUAGAUGCAUACCCCAGACAUACAAGUGAAAUAGUCAUCAAAGAAUAUUCAGCUAUCUAAGAAUUCCCGGUCAUGCUAUUCUGACGAGCACCUUAUUCUUUUUGCCAGCAGAUAAAAGGAGAACUUUCCCAUCCACUAUAUCUGCUUCCUCGAUCCUCUUAUUUUCACUAUUCACUCUGUUAUUGUUCAAGUAAAGACCCCCUUGCUUCAACAAGCGGCGCGCGGCAGAUUUGCUCUCAAACAAACCAGAAGAGACCGAAAGAUCUACCAAUGACAAGUUCAAAACACUGUCAUAAGCCAAAGAACAAGAUGGUACACCCUCAGCUAUUCCCUCGAUAGUUUUCCAGUCCAACUUUGUCUCAGAUCCCGGCCGCAAUGCUUCUGUAGCCUUAAGUGCCUCAGUCAAACCCUCCUCUCCGUGAACAAACCUUGUAACUUCCUCAGCAAGUCUGCGCUGAGCAGUAUUAGGCACAUAAUCCAGUUUCUUCAUCUCCCCUUCCAAUGCAACUAUCUCCUCAAUAUCCAAAAACGUGAGAAUCUUCAAAAACCUAAUAACAUCUGCAUCUGGAACCGUGAAAAAAUACUGAUAAAACUUGUAAGGUGACAACAUCGCAGGUGAAAGCCAAAUCGCGCCAUCUUCCGAUUUUCCAAACUUAGUACCAUCACUCUUCAACAAAAGAGGGAAUGUAAGUCCAUAAGCGCCCUCGACCUGCAAGAUCUUCCGAAUCAACUCAGUCCCAGCAGUUAUAUUCCCCCACUGAUCACUCCCCCCAAUCUGAACAUUCACACCCUCAUUCUGAAACAAGUACAAGAAAUCAUAUCCCUGCAACAACUGGUAGGUGAGUUCAGUAUAACUCAUUCCUUGUUCAGAUUCCAAUCUCUUCCUAACACUCUCCUUAGCUAUCAUAGACCCAACCCUAGCAUACUUACCAACAUUCUUCAAAAAUUCUAACAAACUAAACUCUUUCCACCAGUCAUAGUUAUUCAAAAUCACAACCUUAGAACCUUCCAAGUUCGAAUUCAGAGAGCGACCUAGAAUUUGUUUGAUAGUUUGGGAUAUACCUGCCGUGUUCCUCUCUAGUGUGGCAACGUCGAGCUCCGGCCGCUCCAGUGACUUGCCGGAGGGGUCGCCAAUGCGGGCGGUGGCGCCGCCGAUGAGGGCAAGGGGUUGGUGGCCGCAGCGGUGGAACCAGGAGAGGACGAUGAUUCCGAGGAGGUUGCCGAGGUGGAGGCUCUCUGCAGUGGGGUCGAAGCCGCAGUAGACCUUCAAAGGCGGGCAAUUAGCGGCCCCGGAGAAAGAUGGCGGCGAUGGUGCUGCGGAGGAUCUCAGGGCGGAGUCAUUGGUGGUGGAGUCGAGGAGGCCGCGCUCUUCGAGGACUUCGAUGACGUUGCGGCGAAGCAGAGUUUGAGGUUGGUGUUGGAGAGUGCAUUUGGUUCUGGUGAAAUGGAGAGUGAGGGAAGAAGAAGAAGAAGAAGAAGAAGAAGAAGAAGAAGAAGAAGAAGAAGAGGGUUUGAAAGGGAAAAGGGAGAGUUUGGUGGUUGAGCGAGAUAAGAAAAGGAUAGUUCUUGUCGAAGCAUAGAUGUAAGCCAUUGCUGCUUCUCUCUGCCAGAGUUUGCUUCCUCUAUCUCUAUCUUCCUUCCAUUUUUAUAAACAAUAUUAAUAUUAAUGGGAUAAUUCACAUAAUUGCACUUUCCACCUCUAAAUUGUAUAUUACUAGUGCAUCGACAACGCACAUGGCACAAAAAUAAUGAAAAAACGUUUAUGUUAAUUAAAACUGAAAGGCAUAGUAUUCAAUUAACUUAAAUAAUGAAAAAUUAUUAACUAAUACAUAUAAAUAUAUAUAAUAUAUAAUAAUUAAUUUUUAUAAUAAUAGAUAGACUAUUAAAAAUUAAAAAAUACUAAGAUCUUAUGUUCUCUUUAAACAUAUCUUAUAUUAUUCUGAGUCAAUUUGUUCUUAUUUUAAACUCCAAGCAUUUAGUUUCAAAAUUUGUAUAACCUGAAUUUCAUUAUUAAAUACAAAAAGAAUAAAUUUUAUAGGGAUAUAAAUUAUCCUUUUUUUUUUUUAACAAUGAAAUGAUCAAUCUGUAAUGAAUUAUAAUGUACAGAUUUAAGUUUACAGAUAUUUCCAUAACAUAACUCUUCUUUCAACACAUGUAGUAUUUUAUCUUUAUAUUGGGGAAGCAAUUUGGCCAGCUGUGGUGAUCUAGAAAGUUAAUGGCUUUGCGAGUUACAUGACUUUCUUUAAUUCAUUUGUAAACUAAUAUUCGAUGAAAAUUUUUUGGAAAUUAGCAACUUUUAGUAAUUUUGGUCAUUAUUUAGUCAGUAUAAAUAUUAAAUUAUUUUAACAAAUAAAUUUUAUUAAUUUAUAUAUACAAAUUCUAAAAAAUAUAGGUACAAACUGUAUUGAUUUAUAUGUAUAAAAUUUUAGUAAAUAUAAAUACAAAUUAUAUGUUUUUGUGUGUAAAACGUCUAUAAAUAUAGAUAUAAAUUAUUGUUAACAAAAAAUAAUAAUAUUUGUUAAUGACUAUGUAACAUUGCUCAUAUUCUAAUUCAACUUACCAUUUCUCUAUUCAUAAUUUUGAAUUCCUUUUAAUUACUUACAAAUUUAUUUAUUCAUAUAUUUAUAAUAUGUCAUAUAUAUAUAUAUAUAUAAUAUAUAUGAUUUUCUUUAAUUCAUUUGUAAACUAAUACUUUGAGAGAAAUUUUUGAGAACUAGCAAUUUUUAGUAGUUUUGGUCAUUAUUUAGCUAGUACAAAUAUUAAAUUAUUUUUAACAAAUAAAUUUUAUUAUUUUAUAUAUAUAAAUUUUGAAAAAUAUAUGUAUAAACUGUAUUGAUUUAUGUGUACAAAAUUUUAGUAAAUAUAAAUGUAAAGUAUAUAUUUUUGUGUGUAAAAUAUCUAUAAAUAUAAUUAUAAAUUAUUGUUGGUUAAAAAUAAUAAUAUUUGCUAGUAGUGAUGUAACAUUGCUCAUAUUUUAAUUCAACUUACUAUUUCUUUAUCCAUAAUUCUGUAUCCUUUUUAAUUACUUGUAAAUUUUUUUAUCCAUAUAUUUAUAUUAUGUCAUAUAUAUAUAUAUAUAAUGCUUAAAAUGGUUAAUAAUAAUACUAAUAACAUUUUAUUUAUUCAAUUAUGAAAUAUAUUUAAAAAUUGGCAUUAUGUUUUCAAUUAUUUACAUAUUUACUUAACUAUUUUUCCUAUUAAUAUGUUAAAUACUUCUAAAUUUUAAUAGUAUCUAAUUUAAAUACUUGAUACAUGUAUUAAAAUGACUAAAAAAUAUGAACAAAAAAAAAUUAUAAGAGUCUAAUUAUGCAAUAUUUAUAUAUAAAUGGUCCUUCGGUCUGAUGGUAGUGAAAUUGCCCUGAUUUUUUUUAAAUUUGUAAUUAAGUGAAAUAAUUACAUGAGUGAAAAAAUUUGGAAUAAAAAAUUAGAGAGUUAUGUAUUUGUAAUAUAAGGAAGAUCAAAGGGGUAACAACAAUAUAGACGUGGAUUUCACUCUGAAAAGUACUUUUCUAUACAUCCAACAUAUUUGGAAGUAAAAAAAAUGUCCAGCAAUUUGUAAACAAUCUGAAGGUGCACCUUAUCCUUGAUAGCAACAACAAAAAUUAGGCAAUCACUAUUUGCAGAAACCUGAGGAAAUACAAUGGCACAAACGGGAACAGUUAGCAUCUAGGCUUGUUAAAGAUGAAUCACAGGGAGAAACAUUGGGAGAAAAA